CGAACGCUGGCGGCGUGCUUAACACAUGCAAGUCGAACGGGAAGGCCCUGCUUUUGUGGGGUGCUCGAGUGGCGAACGGGUGAGUAACACGUGAGUAACCUGCCCUUGACUUUGGGAUAACUUCAGGAAACUGGGGCUAAUACCGGAUAGGAGCUCCUGCUGCAUGGUGGGGGUUGGAAAGUUUCGGCGGUUGGGGAUGGACUCGCGGCUUAUCAGCUUGUUGGUGGGGUAGUGGCUUACCAAGGCUUUGACGGGUAGCCGGCCUGAGAGGGUGACCGGCCACAUUGGGACUGAGAUACGGCCCAGACUCCUACGGGAGGCAGCAGUGGGGAAUAUUGCACAAUGGGCGGAAGCCUGAUGCAGCAACGCCGCGUGCGGGAUGACGGCCUUCGGGUUGUAAACCGCUUUCGCCUGUGACGAAGCGUGAGUGACGGUAAUGGGUAAAGAAGCACCGGCUAACUACGUG
rnacentral:rRNA from 1 species